rnacentral:rRNA from 1 species
CGGGUGAGUAACACGUGAUAACCUACCUAUAAGACUGGGAUAACUUCGGGAAACCGGAGCUAAUACCGGAUAAUAUUUUGAACCGCAUGGUUCAAAAGUGAAAGACGGUCUUGCUGUCACUUAUAGAUGGAUCCGCGCUGCAUUAGCUAGUUGGUAAGGUAACGGCUUACCAAGGCAACGAUGCAUAGCCGACCUGAGAGGGUGAUCGGCCACACUGGAACUGAGACACGGUCCAGACUCCUACGGGAGGCAGCAGCU